GGGGAUGUAGCUCAGUGGUACAGCACCUGCCUGGCAAGUGCAAGGUCCUGAGUUCGAUCCCCAGUACCCACA
rnacentral:tRNA from 1 species